rnacentral:miRNA from 1 species
AUGCAAACAUGACCCUGAAUG